ACCACUUUUGGUCUUGUAGAGGAAGAGACAGGAAAGGAGAAACAAUUUGGUUUGUUUUUUUAACUAACUGAAGCAGCUGCCUCGGCAUCUAAAGAUACACGGCGUGGGGGAAGCAUUAAACAUUUGCUACCAACUCAUCUCUGAAACCUCUCACUUACAGAGCCUCGAAAAGAAAGCAUUUCAUUUUUUCCAGCCGAGCAACAUGAAGCCUCAAGUAGUUGCACUUAUAUUUUUGGUCACAUUUGCAAUCUCUUCGCGAGCCUACUUCCUUCGUAUCCAUGGCAUCGGGAAACGAGGGUCAUUUUUGAAACAGAAAAGUUUCUCACGAUUGAAUUCUGCCGGAAAAAGACGAAAUCUUAAAGAUCAAAUGAAUGAAAGGCUCUGGUCGUGGAGAGAACACGAAAUCCCAAAUGACGACACUUUUAACGUUGAAAAAAUGUGGAAUAAAUAUUGACUACAAAAAUUGACAAGGAUAGUGCUGUAAUUACUGUGAAUAAAGGAUGGAGUAAACAUUAUGAUAAUUAUGAA